rnacentral:tRNA from 1 species
GGUGCUGUGGCUCAAGUGGUAGAGUGCUUGCCUUGCAUGCAUAAGGCCCUGGGUUCGAUUCCUUAGCACCA